ACACAAAACUUUCGAGGCCUCACUUAGCAAAAAUACUGCGUUACUUUCGAUUAGCAAUAAGGGAUGUUUUACUAACGUGAUAGCAAUAUGCUUGUUUUACUUGGAUUUAGUAAAAAAGCGGGCUUACUAGCCGCUUUGUUCGGAUAGCAGCCGCCGGCUACUAGAAAAAAAAACAAUUCGACGCGAAUCUGUGCGCUUGACAAAAAUAGGUAGAUGUUGGCGGAACCUGUGGAGACGGGGCUAACAAAGUCAGCGACCAUAGUGUAUACAGGAAGAAACCAAUGAACGAACGGUUGUUGGGCGGUUACGAAAACGGGCUCACUGCUGGCGGAGCAUUUGAUUGUCAAGUGGACGACGGAACGGUGGAUUAAUUGAUAUCGGAAGUGUACAGGUUGCUUCUGCCGGCCAUCAUUGCCACAAUGAUCGACAGAAAGGAAGCGAAUUUGCAGAUCUACUGCAUUAUUUUGCACCCAGGCGGAAGACCAGUUUUGAAGAUCAAGUGCAAAAAGUGUUUAGUGAAAUGAUCUUUUUUUAAAUAAAUGGAGUGAAAGAAUGGUGUCUUUUUCAUAAUACUUUCCGAGUUUCCAAAGAAAAAACAAUAAAUUUGAAUUUCAAAUCCCCCGCGGUCUUUUCCGUCGGUUUUUGCUAAAAUUUUGGCAAAAUAUUCCGGCGGCUAACUUUUUCUCUCGUUUGCUAAAAUUCUAGUAGAAAAAAUUUGCUAAAUUGGUUGCUAAAUUUCUAGCUGGUCAAAUUUGAGCAAAAUUUUGCUAAUU